rnacentral:rRNA from 1 species
GGGAAAUACUUAGAUGGUGGGCUGAUAGGGCAGCUAACAUGCAGUCGAGCGGUAGCACAGGAGAGCUUGCUCUCUGGGUGACGAGCGGGGCCCGGUUGAGUAAUGUCUGGGAAACUGCAUGAUGGAGGGGGAUACCUACUGGAAACGGUUGCUAAUACCGCAUAUCGUCGCAAGAGCAAAGUGGGGGACCUUCGGGCCUCAUGCCAUCAUUAUGUGCCCAGAUGGGAUUAGCUAGUAGGUGGGGUAAUGGCUCACCUAGGCGACAAUCCCUAUCUGGUCUGAGAGGAUGACCAGCCACACUGGAACUGAGACACGGUCCACACUCCUACGGGAGGCAGCAGUGGGGAAUAUUGCACAAUGGGCGCAAGCCUGAUACACCCAUGCCGCGUGUGUGAAAAAAGCCUUCUGGUUGUAAAGUACUUUUUGCGAGGAAGAAAGCAUUAAGGUUAAUAACCUUAGUGAUUGACGAUUACUCACAGAAAAAACACCGGCUAUCUCCGUGCCAGCAGCCGCGGUAAUACAGAGGGUGCGAGCGUUAAUCUCAAUUACUGGGCGUAAAGCGCACGCAUGCGGUUUGUUAAAUCAGAUGUGAAAUCCCCGGGCUCAACCUGUGAACUGUAUUUGAAACUGGGAAGCUUGAGUCUUGUAGAGAGGGGUAGAAUUCCACGUGUAGCGGUGAAAUGCGUAUAGAUCUGGAGGAAUACCUGUGGCGAAGGCGGCCCUCUGUACAAAGACUGACACUCAGGUGCGAAAGCGUGUGGAGCACACAAGAUUAUAUACACUGGGAGUCCACGCUGUAAACGAUAUCGACAUGGAGGUUGUUCCUUUGCGGAGUGUCUUCCGGAGCUAACGCUAUAAUUCGCCCGCCUGGGGAGUACUGCCGCAAGGUUAAAUCUAAAAAAAAUUGACGGGGGCCCGCACAAGCGGUGGAGCAUGUGGUUUAUUUAGAUGCAACGAGAAGAACUUUACCUCCUCUUCACAUCCAGAGAAUUUCGCAGAGAUGUUUUGGUGCUUUCGGGAUCUAUGACACAGGUGGUACAUGGCUGUUGUCAUCUCGUGUUGUGAAAUGUUGGUUUAAGUCCCGCAACGAGCGCACCCUUUCUCUUUUGUUCCCAGCGGUUCGGCCGGGAAUUCAAAGAAGACUCCCAGUGAUAAACUGGAGGAAGGUGGGGAGGACGUCAAUUCUUCAUGGCCCUUACGACUAGGGCUCCCCACUUGUUCCAAUGUCAUAUCCAAAGAGAACCGACCUCGCGAGAUCAAGCGGUCCUCAUAAAGUAUUUUCUAUUCCGGAUUGGAUUUUCCAAUUGGAUUCCAUGAAUUCGGAAUCGUUAGUAAUGCUAGUUCACAAUGCUGCGGUGAAUACGUUCCCGGGCCUUGUACACACCGCCUGACAGGCCAUGGGAGUGGGUGCAAAAGAAGCAGGUAGCUUAACCUCGGACGGGCGCUACUAUUUGAUCACGAUUUUUAUCCACUAACCUGGCU